UACAGAGGUCUCAAGCGUUGUUCGGAUUCAUUGGGCGUAAAGGGUGCGUAGGUGGCGAGGUUAGUCAGGUGUGAAAUCUCGGGGCUCAACCCCGAAACUGCACUUGAUACUGCCUUGCUAGAGUACUGGAGAGGAGAUUGGAAUUUACGGUGUAGCAGUGAAAUGCGUAGAUAUCGUAAGGAAGACCAGUGGCGAAGGCGAAUCUCUGGACAGUUACUGACACUGAGGCACGAGGGCCAGGGGAGCAAACGGG
rnacentral:rRNA from 1 species